rnacentral:rRNA from 1 species
GACGGAGGGUGCAAGCGUUGCUCGGAAUCACUGGGCGUAAAGGGUGCGUAGGCGGCUGUGUAAGUCUGGCGUGAAAGCCCCGGGCUCAGCCCGGGAAGUGCGCUCGAAACUGCGCGGCUCGAGUGCCGGAGGGGAGAGUGGAAUUCCUGGUGUAGCGGUGAAAUGCGUAGAUAUCAGGAGGAAUACCGGUGGCGAAAGCGACUCUCUGGACGGCAACUGACGCUGAGGCACGAAAGCGUGGGGAGCAAACAGG